rnacentral:lncRNA from 1 species
AUAUGUCGGAUUGGGGCUCCCCGACCGGGAAACUGGAGUGGGGCUUCAAUAGCGAGGACACGAACAAGCUCAAAAGAUCUCAAUCUUUUGGUUUCCGCGGUGGAAAUGCUGCUCCAACAAGAUCACCUAUCGCACCAUCUCAAGUCAAUGAGCCAGACGUCUCGUGGGUUCAUUCCUUGGUGAAAGAUGUGUCCUCCACUGGUACCGGGCUAUAUAGCUCAGAGCAGAAGCGCGGCAGUGUUCGCGACACCAUUCCACCAUGGCUGGAACAAAUGUACAUAGACCAGGAGCGGAUAGUGGCAUAACCUAAUUCUCUGCCAUGCAGUUGCUCCAAAGUUAAUUCUUUUCGAAUUCUUAUCGAUAUAUUGGAUAUAUUUUAGCCAUUAGUUUCAAGAUAACAGCAAGAAAACCCUUGUUCCAUGGGGAAAGAAAUGAGUAGGAAGGAUGACUAUCACAUUGUUUCAACAAUUUAAGUGAUUCAAGAAAGAAGCAUUUGUUAUUAACUCA